GAUAAUCAAAUGAAGACAAGCCAUUAAAAUAGUAAAUGAUUCAGAUUACAAGCAAGAAGAAGAAACUACAAUCUUUUGAGAUUAGUUAAAUUUGAGACGGUUUUUAAGCAAAGUUAAACACAAAAUUAAACUGCAGGAAAAAAACUAGGAUUAUGGUUUUUCCACUUCAUAUGAAGAGCUGGACAUUGCAACUCGAUAACUUGUUGUAGAGUUUGAACAUCUCCAAGACACGUUGGUUUCCUCCUAGCUGUGUAGGAUUAUUAUUCUCUUCAGCA